rnacentral:lncRNA from 1 species
CAAGUCUGUGGAAUGCAGAUGAUUGGGCCACAAGAGGUGGUCUUGUGAAGACAGAUUGGAGUCGAGCUCCCUUCACUGCUUCUUACAGAAACUUCAACGCCAAUGCUUGUAUUUGGUCUAAUGGAGCAUCUUCUUGCAAAUCUAAUUCACCUUCCGGUAGUAAUGUGUGGCUGUCACAAGAAUUAGACACAAACAGUCAAGAUAGGCUCCAGUGGGUACAAAAGAAUUACAUGAUCUAUAAUUACUGCACAGACACUAAAAGAUUUCCUCAAGGCAUCCCUCCAGAAUGCAGCAUGUCAUAGAAGGCUGAGAAGGACAUAACAUUCAAUACAAUUUUUGUUUUUCUUUUUCAACAUAUCUUGAUUCUUUUUCUUUACAUUCUUUUGUUCUAUGCAAUUAGAUAUGACAAAAUUCGUUCUAUGUAAAGCUGCUUUGAAUCUUGAUUAAUGCUAUUUGUUCAUUAUCUCCAUUGAGAUCUUCAUAUCCAGGUUGGAAUGAAGCAUAUAUGAGCAACUUAAGGACAAGAGAUUUGAAAUUCGAUAACAUGAGUCUAGCUUUUCUUCAAAUUGCAUAAUUCAGAAGUACAAGUAAAAAAUUAGGCAAGGUAGUGGCGAGAUCGCCCUCCAACUGAAAGCGAGAACUUUUGUCAAACAGCUGGUCUGCAGUUUGUUUGCAGUGUGCUCUGAAAAAUGUUAGUUUCUUUUUUGGUGUGUUCUGUUAACUAAAGACGCAUGCCGCUAAAUGGAAAUCAAUAUAGGAUGCAUAAUUUGCUCAAUUAAGAAAAUGAAUUUACAUACAGUUUUUGCACAAACAAAAGAUAAACCAAUCUGAACAGUAAUUUAAUGAAAUGUAGAGAGCCAUCAUAAUUUUCGCUUGAGAAAGUGCUAGUCUUAGGUCGUAUAUAGCUUUUAUGCUAUAUACUUAUAGCCAUCCAAUUCCAGUAAGAACAGAUCAUUUUUAUUAUACCCCCAACUUUACGGCUUAUUAUAAUUACACUCUAAAACCAACCCAACUGACAGACACUCCAGAAUCUGCAGUUCUUGCUGCACUUGGGUUGGCGGUGUUGCAUCUUCAAUCCCUUCUCUCUAGUCUAUGCUUCUCUCCUACCUUGGUUGUCCUCUGUCUUCCUCUCCCACCGCCUUUUGGCAUCUAGCAUCCAGGUCUGAGAGAGAGGGAUUUUGAGAUGAGAUCCAUGAAGGAGGGGUAGAGAAGGGAGAGAUGAAACGGUAAGGUUUCUUUUGU